rnacentral:rRNA from 1 species
CCGGCGACCGGCGCACGGGUGAGUAACACGUAUGCAAUCCACCUGUAACAGGGGGGAUAACCCGGAGAAAUCCGGACUAAUACCCCAUAAUACGGGCUCUCCGCAUGGAGGGUCCAUUAAAGAGAGCAAUUUUGGUUACAGACGAGCAUGCGCUCCAUUAGCCAGUUGGCGGGGUAACGGCCCACCAAAGCGACGAUGGAUAGGGGUUCUGAGAGGAAGGUCCCCCACAUUGGAACUGAGACACGGUCCAA